AUGCAGUAUGCAAUUCUGUAUUCUUUUAGCAAAUAUAAACAGUACAUGACAAUUGUUGUUGUUGACAAUUAGGUACCUGCUUUCAGUUUUUUACUAAGUGUAGAACUUGUUGAAAAUAAUGUCGAGAUGGAAGGUGUAAUAGUUUGAAGUGGGGGUCGAGAGUGUGCGGAGGUGUGUACACUAGCGUGUAUGAGCAGCAGGGAAGGUGAAGGAGUGCGCAGAUGUUAACACCGAGGGGUGAAGGAAAGUUACAGGGCUCAAAAUAGCCUAGAGUUAAAACUCCCCUCCAGGUCCUCCCCACCAUUCUAUGCAAAACAAAGAACUCUCUCACUCGAUGGAAAAAAAAAUGGACAUUAAGGUUGACUGCCCAGCUCCCAGCCGGUCCCAGCCUCUGGCCGAUCUCCAGAAUUCCUUGCCCCAGCUGUUUAAGAGGUAACUAUUCCGAACAACCUUGGAGAACAGGCCCCCUUAAGAUAGUAGAUUUCUACAUAUAAGCCUAUAUAUACUUACUCUUUUCUUGGGUUAGUGCAGCAGCUCACUAAUCUGACUGCUGCCCCUUCUCGCCUCGUUAAGGGUGAUCUGUUCUUGUAAAGUGCCUGUCUCCUAUUUCCGAACCUCUCUUUCUCUAACUCCCUUACCCUACACGGGGAACUCAAGCUCUCAACGCUGGCAUCCCACCCCGUUAGCCGGCUUUGCGUUCCUACUGCCUACUGCCAGAGAUGAAACCCACGGAGAAGUUCUAAGGAAGGCAAUGGCAGCUCUGGCCGAUGGCGUCACCACCACGGCCAGGGUGGCAUUGUUUGUAGCUUCGCGCCGGGCUGGGGCAGCAGUAUUUACGGUGAUCUCUGGCCAAAGAGGUAGCCAGCCCCUGAACCAGCGGCAAAGGCGGAAUGGCCCUGGGGGACGGUGAGGGGCCGGGGCCCCGGCUCACCUGUGCGCCCCAGCCUGCCGGCCGCAGCGCCACGCCGGGUCCGCGCGCAGUCCCCUCCCGCCCCUCGGCGGGGGCUAGGGCGUGAGCCCCGAGGCCCGCG
rnacentral:lncRNA from 1 species